GAUGAACGCUGGCGGCGUGCCUAAUACAUGCAAGUCGAGCGAACAGAUGAGGAGCUUGCUCCUCUGACGUUAGCGGCGGACGGGUGAGUAACACGUGGAUAACCUACCUAUAAGACUGGGAUAACUUCGGGAAACCGGAGCUAAUACCGGAUAAUAUAUUGAACCGCAUGGUUCAAUAGUGAAAGACGGUUUUGCUGUCACUUAUAGAUGGAUCCGCGCCGCAUUAGCUAGUUGGUAAGGUAACGGCUUACCAAGGCAACGAUGCGUAGCCGACCUGAGAGGGUGAUCGGCCCCACGGAACCUGAGACACGGUCCAGACCCCUACGGGAGGCAGCAGUAGGAAUCUUCCGCAAAGGGCGAAAGCCUGACGGAGCAACGCCGCGUGAGUGAUGAAGGUCUUCGGAUCGUAAAACUCUGUUAUUAGGGAAGAACAAAUGUGUAAGUAACUAUGCACGUCUUGACGGUACCUAAUCAGAAAGCCACGGCUAACUACGUG
rnacentral:rRNA from 1 species